GGGGAUGGAGCGUUGCUGGUGUGACGUGCGGUCUUCAAAACCGUUGUUGGGUAGACUAGCGCUAUCCAGGGUGGGUUCGAUUCCCACGCAUUCCCGA
rnacentral:tRNA from 1 species